rnacentral:rRNA from 1 species
UACGGGAGGCAGCAGUGGGGAAUAUUGCACAAUGGGCGAAAGCCUGAUGCAGCUAUGCCGCGUGUAUGAAGAAGGCCUUAGGGUUGUAAAGUACUUUCAUCGGGGAGGAAAAAACAAAACUAAUAAUUUUAUUUCUUGACGUUACCCGAAAAAGAAGCACCGGCUAACUCCGUGCCAGCAGCCGCGGUAAUACGGAGGGUGCUAGCGUUAAUCAGAAUUACUGGGCGUAAAGAGCACGUAGGUGGUUUUUUUAAAGUCAGAUGUGAAAUCCCUGGGCUUAACCUAGGAACUGCAUUUUGAAACUGAAAUACUAGAGUAUCGUAGAGGGAGGUAGAAUUCUAGGUGUAGCGGUGAAAUGCGUAGAUAUCUGGAGGAAUACCUGUGGCGAAAAGCGGCCUCCUAAACGAAUACUGACACUGAGGUGCGAAAAGCGUGGGGAGCAAACAGGGAUUAGAUACC